GCCAGCGUGGCUCAGCAGGUAGAGCAGCGCACUCGUAAUGCGCAGGUCUCCAGUUCGAAUCUGGACGCUGGCU
rnacentral:tRNA from 1 species